ensembl:lncRNA
GGCAAAGCCGCUGGGGCGACUCAUAAACAAUAUGGAAAAUCUGAUAUGGACAGUGUUCUAGUUUAACAGUCUAAAGGUGGCGCCUCUUCAAUCUCAGGAGGCUGAAGAAAUUCGGCUUGUCACCAAAAGCACUCACAAACUUCUACAGAUGCACAAUCGAGAGCAUCCUGUCGGGCUGUUUCACCGCCUGGUACGGCAACUGCUCCGCCCACAACCGUAAGGCUCUCCAGAGGGUAGUGAGGUGUGCACAACGCAUCACCGGGGGCAAACUACCUGCCCUCCAGGACACCUACACCACCCGAUGUCACAGGAACGCAAAAAAGAUCAUCAAGGACAACAACCACCCGAGUCACUGCCUGUUCACCCCGCUACCAUCCAGAAGGCGAGGACAACAUUCAACCCGAUCAGCUUCUAGCUAACUCCAGCAUCACUGGUCAGCAACUCCAUACAUCUGACUCCGGUGAAGGGCAAAGGGGCAUUAACUAACAUGGAGCUGUCUCAGUGAAACAAGUAAGUUACUUUUGUGAUAAAUGCCAGAGCCAAGCAUCGUCUCUCACAGUCAGGACAGUGUUAUUAAGAAGCAGUUUAGCUGUUUGGAUGCAGAGGAAAUUCCAAUUGCUCGAACACUAUGCAGGAUGAACUGUGGAGGACCAAAAGUCAUUUUCAUCAAAGACAAAUUAUUUUAUUAUGUACCAUUAGUCAAACACGGGCACCCUCAUAGAUAUCAUCCUAACCAACUUGCCCUCUAAAUACACCUCUGCUGUCUUCAACCAAGAUCUCAGCGAUCACUGCCUCAUUGCCUGCAUCUGUAAUGAGUCAGCGGUCAAACGACCUCCACUCAUCAUUGUAAAACGCUUCCUGAAACACUUCAGCGAGCAGGCCUUUCUAAUCGACCUGACCGGGGUAUCCUGGAAGGAUAUUGAUCUCAUCCCGUCAGUAGAGGAUGCCUGGAU